rnacentral:rRNA from 1 species
UCGAGGGGAAACGACAUCGAAAGCUUGCUUUUGAUGGGCGUCGACCGGCGCACGGGUGAGUAACGCGUAUCCAACCUGCCCACCACUUGGGGAUAACCUUGCGAAAGUAAGACUAAUACCCAAUGAUAUCUCUAGAAGACAUCUGAAAGAGAUUAAAGAUUUAUCGGUGAUGGAUGGGGAUGCGUCUGAUUAGCUUGUUGGCGGGGUAACGGCCCACCAAGGCGACGAUCAGUAGGGGUUCUGAGAGGAAGGUCCCCCACAUUGGAACUGAGACACGGUCCAAACUCCUACGGGAGGCAGCAGUGAGGAAUAUUGGUCAAUGGGCGAGAGCCUGAACCAGCCAAGUAGCGUGCAGGAUGACGGCCCUAUGGGUUGUAAACUGCUUUUAUAAGGGAAUAAAGUGAGUCUCGUGAGACUUUUUGCAUGUACCUUAUGAAUAAGGACCGGCUAAUUCCGUGCCAGCAGCCGCGGUAAUACGGAAGGUCCGGGCGUUAUCCGGAUUUAUUGGGUUUAAAGGGAGCGUAGGCCGGAGAUUAAGCGUGUUGUGAAAUGUAGACGCUCAACGUCUGCACUGCAGCGCGAACUGGUUUCCUUGAGUACGCACAAAGUGGGCGGAAUUCGUGGUGUAGCGGUGAAAUGCUUAGAUAUCACGAAGAACUCCGAUUGCGAAGGCAGCUCACUGGAGCGCAACUGACGCUGAAGCUCGAAAGUGCGGGUAUCGAACAGGAUUAGAUACCCUGGUAGUCCGCACGGUAAACGAUGGAUGCCCGCUGUUGGUCUGAAUAGGUCAGCGGCCAAGCGAAAGCA